rnacentral:misc_RNA from 1 species
UGAAGGUCCAAAGGCAUCCAUGUAUUCAUGUUUCAUAGUGAGAUCCGUAGGUUGUAGUCUGGGGAUUGCGUAGUGCAAGAUAAAGCCAUCUUGAAUUCUUGAUUGCUAGGACAAUGUAACGGCACUCUUGUUUGGUCCCCUUGGAAUAAAACAACGUUACCUAUUUUUCAAUUGGUGGAUUUGCACUGGAUACCGGGUAUCAGACAUCUGAGUGGUUUUGAAGCGGGG